rnacentral:rRNA from 1 species
UAAGCGACUAAGCGUACACGGUGGAUGCCCUGGCAGUCAGAGGCGAUGAAGGACGUGCUAAUCUGCGAUAAGCGUCGGUAAGGUGAUAUGAACCGUUAUAACCGGCGAUUUCCGAAUGGGGAAACCCAGUGUGAUUCGUCACACUAUCAUUAACUGAAUCCAUAGGUUAAUGAGGCGAACCGGGGGAACUGAAACAUCUAAGUACCCCGAGGAAAAGAAAUCAACCGAGAUUCCCCCAGUAGCGGCGAGCGAACGGGGAGCAGCCCAGAGCCUGAAUCAGUGUGUGUGUUAGUGGAAGCGUCUGGAAAGGCGCGCGAUACAGGGUGACAGCCCCGUACACAAAAAUGCACAUACUGUGAGCUCGAUGAGUAGGGCGGGACACGUGGUAUCCUGUCUGAAUAUGGGGGGACCAUCCUCCAAGGCUAAAUACUCCUGACUGACCGAUAGUGAACCAGUACCGUGAGGGAAAGGCGAAAAGAACCCCGGCGAGGGGAGUGAAAAAGACCUGAAACCGUGUACGUACAAGCAGUGGGAGCCUCUUUUAUGGUGUGACUGCGUACCUUUUGUAUAAUGGGUCAGCGACUUAUAUUCUGUAGCAAGGUUAACCGAAUAGGGGAGCCGAAGGGAAACCGAGUCUUAACCGGGCGUUAAGUUGCAGGGUAUAGACCCGAAACCCGGUGAUCUAGCCAUGGGCAGGUUGAAGGUUGGGUAACACUAACUGGAGGACCGAACCGACUAAUGUUGAAAAAUUAGCGGAUGACUUGUGGCUGGGGGUGAAAGGCCAAUCAAACCGGGAGAUAGCUGGUUCUCCCCGAAAGCUAUUUAGGUAGCGCCUCGUGAAUUCAUCUCCGGGGGUAGAGCACUGUUUCGGCAAGGGGGUCAUCCCGACUUACCAACCCGAUGCAAACUGCGAAUACCGGAGAAUGUUAUCACGGGAGACACACGGCGGGUGCUAACGUCCGUCGUGAAGAGGGAAACAACCCAGACCGCCAGCUAAGGUCCCAAAGUCAUGGUUAAGUGGGAAACGAUGUGGGAAGGCCCAGACAGCCAGGAUGUUGGCUUAGAAGCAGCCAUCAUUUAAAGAAAGCGUAAUAGCUCACUGGUCGAGUCGGCCUGCGCGGAAGAUGUAACGGGGCUAAACCAUGCACCGAAGCUGCGGCAGCGACACUGUGUGUUGUUGGGUAGGGGAGCGUUCUGUAAGCCUGUGAAGGUGUACUGUGAGGUAUGCUGGAGGUAUCAGAAGUGCGAAUGCUGACAUAAGUAACGAUAAAGCGGGUGAAAAGCCCGCUCGCCGGAAGACCAAGGGUUCCUGUCCAACGUUAAUCGGGGCAGGGUGAGUCGACCCCUAAGGCGAGGCCGAAAGGCGUAGUCGAUGGGAAACAGGUUAAUAUUCCUGUACUUGGUGUUACUGCGAAGGGGGGACGGAGAAGGCUAUGUUGGCCGGGCGACGGUUGUCCCGGUUUAAGCGUGUAGGCUGGUUUUCCAGGCAAAUCCGGAAAAUCAAGGCUGAGGCGUGAUGACGAGGCACUACGGUGCUGAAGCAACAAAUGCCCUGCUUCCAGGAAAAGCCUCGAAGCAUCAGGUAACAUCAAAUCGUACCCCAAACCGACACAGGUGGUCAGGUAGAGAAUACCAAGGCGCUUGAGAGAACUCGGGUGAAGGAACUAGGCAAAAUGGUGCCGUAACUUCGGGAGAAGGCACGCUGAUAUGUAGGUGAAGUCCCUCGCGGAUGGAGCUGAAAUCAGUCGAAGAUACCAGCUGGCUGCAACUGUUUAUUAAAAACACAGCACUGUGCAAACACGAAAGUGGACGUAUACGGUGUGACGCCUGCCCGGUGCCGGAAGGUUAAUUGAUGGGGUCAGCGCAAGCGAAGCUCUUGAUCGAAGCCCCGGUAAACGGCGGCCGUAACUAUAACGGUCCUAAGGUAGCGAAAUUCCUUGUCGGGUAAGUUCCGACCUGCACGAAUGGCGUAAUGAUGGCCAGGCUGUCUCCACCCGAGACUCAGUGAAAUUGAACUCGCUGUGAAGAUGCAGUGUACCCGCGGCAAGACGGAAAGACCCCGUGAACCUUUACUAUAGCUUGACACUGAACAUUGAGCCUUGAUGUGUAGGAUAGGUGGGAGGCUUUGAAGUGUGGACGCCAGUCUGCAUGGAGCCGACCUUGAAAUACCACCCUUUAAUGUUUGAUGUUCUAACGUGGACCCGUGAUCCGGGUUGCGGACAGUGUCUGGUGGGUAGUUUGACUGGGGCGGUCUCCUCCUAAAGAGUAACGGAGGAGCACGAAGGUUGGCUAAUCCUGGUCGGACAUCAGGAGGUUAGUGCAAUGGCAUAAGCCAGCUUGACUGCGAGCGUGACGGCGCGAGCAGGUGCGAAAGCAGGUCAUAGUGAUCCGGUGGUUCUGAAUGGAAGGGCCAUCGCUCAACGGAUAAAAGGUACUCCGGGGAUAACAGGCUGAUACCGCCCAAGAGUUCAUAUCGACGGCGGUGUUUGGCACCUCGAUGUCGGCUCAUCACAUCCUGGGGCUGAAGUAGGUCCCAAGGGUAUGGCUGUUCGCCAUUUAAAGUGGUACGCGAGCUGGGUUUAGAACGUCGUGAGACAGUUCGGUCCCUAUCUGCCGUGGGCGCUGGAGAACUGAGGGGGGCUGCUCCUAGUACGAGAGGACCGGAGUGGACGCAUCACUGGUGUUCGGGUUGUCAUGCCAAUGGCACUGCCCGGUAGCUAAAUGCGGAAGAGAUAAGUGCUGAAAGCAUCUAAGCACGAAACUUGCCCCGAGAUGAGUUCUCCCUGACCCUUUAAGGGUCCUGAAGGAACGUUGAAGACGACGACGUUGAUAGGCCGGGUGUGUAAGCGCAGCGAUGCGUUGAGCUAACCGGUACUAAUGAACCGUGAGGCUUAACCU